UACGUAAGGGGCAAGCGUUGUCCGGAAUUAUCGGGCGUAAAGGGCGCGUAGGCGGCCUGCUAAGUCGGACGUGAAAUCCCUCGGCUCAACCGGGGAACUGCGUCCGAUACUGGUGGGCUCGAAUCCGGGAGAGGGAUGUGGAAUUCCAGGUGUAGCGGUGAAAUGCGUAGAUAUCUGGAGGAACACCGGUGGCGAAGGCGGCAUCCUGGACCGGUAUUGACGCUGAUGCGCGAAAGCCAGGGGAGCAAACGGG
rnacentral:rRNA from 1 species